AACAUGGCAAUAACACGUUGUACAAUUAGCUAUGUGAAGUGUACUACAAACUUGGCUUUAUUAUUGGACGUCAUUUUUUUGUUAUUUUCCUGUUGACACGCGUAUUUGCACUCAAAGCAACUCACCAGCUAACAGGGAUCUUUGAAGUUCACUUUCUUCUUCAUUGACUCUUUCAAAUUAAAGUUUGUUAAUUGUAUUUGCUGGCGCUGCCGAACAUAUUUUAAUUUCAAGAGCUUAUAUCACAAUAAUGUUAUUACUUUGUAACAUUAAGGUAAUCAACUGUGUCCAACAAAGUACAGCAAAAUCAACCCAACAUUUCAGACUCAUACAAAGAUCAGUUGAACUGCUGCAACCUUUGGUGGUAAGUGAAUGAUAUCAUAUAUAAAUAUUUUUAGCUAUGCAAGAAGGAAAAAGCCAAUGGACUGGAUUUUUUUUAAUCUUCUAAGCACCACAAUGCCCUUCCUUGCUUGAACUCUUGAUGUUGUGAUUGGUUUGUCAGAGAAGGAGAUCUUUUAGGAAUCUUGCAUUGUUUACUAUACUCACUUAGUUCUCUAUCUGCAAGGUAUAUGUUAGUUCCUAUUUUUGGGUUUUAAUUAAUUUGUUUGUUCUUUUUAGUAGUUUCUUGUGGAUUUCUGAUUAUCCUAUAUGCAUGCAAAUGAUUUUAUUGUGAUUUGUGCAUACAUAUUUGAAGAUACAUAGGUGCAAUAAAGUUUAGUUAUAUCAUCAUGUUCUUUAGAUGAUAUCAUUGCAGUGGUGUGACAGUAAUUCUUGGAUGAUACUGAUUAAAGUGGUGUUGUAGUUGCAAUUGGAAUAAAAUUCAAUUUAAUAAUUUCUGACAAUCACUUUCUUUAACGCUUUCACCUUCUAACGUGUGAACUAUAAGAAUAGACACGUGUAGUGCCUUUUUUCACAACUAUUCUUUCAAUGUCGACACAAAAAUUGACUUCAAACUGCUCUUCUCUUAAAAUUUCAUUUCUCUCAGGCUCUUUUAGAGGUAAGUAUAUCUUUCCAUUCAAUGUAUUUGCAUCUAUGUAUAUGAAUGUUAAGUUUGACCCAGCAUAAACAAUUUUGAUAAUCAAUAAGGUGUUCUUAUCGUGAUAGAUUAUUAGUAGAAUUGUUAAGUUUAAGUUGCAAGGGUUAAUUCGUCAUUUGGUAAAUCCUUCUAUUUAGAGGUGUAAUUUUUUUAAUUUUAUUUCUACGAGCAUCUCUAGAAGAAGAACUAGAGGAAGCGGUAAGAUGUUAAUGGAUUUUUUAUCGAUUGUUGAAAUAUUGGAGUAAAAAGUACGAGUUAAUGGAUUUUUUAUCGAUUGUUGAAAUAUUGGAGUAAGAAGUACUACCUUUUUGUAGAGUUGUUGAUAAACUACUUACCGAUUUCUUAUUUGAUGAAUUUGUUUGAAUAAACUGAUUUAUGUAGCGGUAGGAGUUGCAACUUUCUUUACUUUAUUUCUGCAAGGAACUGGAUGAUGUUUUAUUGUCGAAUACCACUUAACCAUAAGGAGAGAGACAUCAACCACUUGACUCUAAUGAGAUGAAUAUAGCAGAAAAAGUAGUUCAAAAGAAGCCACAAAUUUAAAUAGAAAGAAUAGUCAAUGUCAAUUAGAGACAACUUUGUUGAAAUCUUCCUUUCGAAACAUACCGUCAUAUAUGAAUUAUGUUACUAUGAAUCUAUGUAUUUGUCAACCUUCUGAUGAAGGCAUAUAGUAUCUCUCAUAUAAUUUGCUAAUAACUUUUGGAACUAUCAAGAUUGUUCUUUUAAAAUGGAUUAUUGCAAGUUUUCUUAUAUAAUCUAUAAUAGUUCUGCUCAAGAGGAGGAAAGCCAGAAUAUUUUACAAUAUAAUUGACUCUGCCUAACCUUAGGUUGUGGUCAUCUCACCCCCUGAUGAUGUUGUGGAUGCGGGACAUUAGUUGUAUUGUUGUGAGCAAGUACAUAAAGAUUUUCUUUA